rnacentral:lncRNA from 1 species
CAUCUCUAGGCUCAUGAUGAUAACAGGUGUCAGGGUGUGGGUGUCUCCCUGUGUUUCCCUCCUGUGUUGAUUACUGUUCCCUCCCCUAAUGUGUCUCAGCUGUUCCUCGUUGUGUUUGUUAUUUAGGCCCUCGUCUUUCCUUUGUUCGGGGUGCUGUCAUUGUGGUUUGCUGUGGUUAGUGUUGGUUGUUAGUCCUGCGUGUUCCGUGUUCCCUCUCGAGUUCCCUGUUUUCUCCCGAGUUCCCUGAUUCCUGUGCCUUAGGCUUUAGGUUUGAUUAAAGUGCCGUUUCCCUCAAUACCAUCUGCGUUUGGGUCCUACCUGCCUGCUUGCACCUCCAGCUCUCUUAACAGAAUGACAGCACCCCUAUUGGACCCAGCGGACGCUCAAUUUAGCCAGUGGUACCGGCCUCGUCGCCUGCUUGAGGUGGUCCGUCCUCCGCUCCUGCCUGAGGGGGCCCGCCCCCUGCUCCUUCCAGAGGGGUACCGGUCUUCGCUCCUGCCUGAGGGGUUCUGCCCCCUGCUCCUUCCAGAGGAGGACCGGCCACUGCUUCCACCGGAGGGGGUCCGCCCUCCAGACCGUCCAGGGGAGGCACGCCCUCUACCUGGCCUUCCACCAGAGGGGACCCGCCCUCUACCCUGUCCACCAGAGGGGACCCGCCCCCUACCUGGCCUUCCACCAGAGGGGACCCGCCCUCUGCCUGGCCUUCCACCAGAGGGGACCCGCCCUCUACCCUGUCCACCAGAGGGGACCCGCCCCCUACCUGGCCUUCCACCAGAGGGGACCCGCCCUCUGCCUGGCCCUCCUCCUGAGGGGACCCGCCCUCUGCCUGGCCCUCCUCCUGAGGGGACCCGCCCUCUGCCUGGCCUGCCUCCUGAGGGGACCCGCCCUCUACCUGGCCUUCCUCUUGAGGGGACCCGCCCUCUACCUCGCCUUCGCCGGCCUCCUGAAGGGUUCCGCCUUCACCGCUGCCGGCCUUCUGAGGGGGUUCUGUGCCACUGCAGGUCUCCUGAGGGACUGAGCCCUCAUCGUCCUUGCACCCGGCCUCCUGAAGGGUUCCGCCUUCACUCUGCCUCUGCUUGCCCCCCAGGCCGUCCGCCUGAGGCUCCCUGCCAUGCCCUGGGGCAGUUUUCUGGCCGCCCGCCUGACGUCCCUCGGCUCUGCCGCAGUCCAUUUUUUUUGAUUCCCCCCUCCUGGCGCCCCUCCACCCACCCGUUUUGGGUUUGACUUUCUUUGUUUUUUGCUUGUCGUGGGUCGCCUGGGAGUCGACCCUUAAGGGGGGGGUACUGUCAGGGUGUGGGUGUCUCCCUGUGUUUCCCUCCUGUGUUGAUUACUGUUCCCUCCCCUAAUGUGUCUCAGCUGUUCCUCGUUGUGUUUGUUAUUUAGGCCCUCGUCUUUCCUUUGUUCAGGGUGCUGUCAUUGUGGUUUGCUGUGGU